rnacentral:rRNA from 1 species
GAUGAACGCUGGCGGCGUGCUUAACACAUGCAAGUCGAACGAGAGAUACAGGAGGAAGUUUUCGGAUGGAAUCCGGUAGAUCGAGUGGCGGACGGGUGAGUAACGCGUGGGGAACCUGCCUCAUACAGGGGGAUAACAGUUGGAAACGACUGUUAAUACCGCAUAAGACCACAGAGUCGCAUGACUCAGGGGUAAAAACUCCGGUGGUAUGAGAUGGACCCGCGUUCGAUUAGCCAGUUGGCGGGGUAACGGCCCACCAAAGCGACGAUCGAUAGCCGAUUUGAGAGAAUGACCGGCCACAUUGGGACUGAGACACGGCCCAAACUCCUACGGGAGGCAGCAGUGGGGAAUAUUGCACAAUGGGGGGAACCCUGAUGCAGCGACGCCGCGUGAGUGAAGAAGUAUUUCGGUAUGUAAAGCUCUAUCAGCAGGGAAGAAGAUGACGUACCUGAUUAAGAGCCCCGCA